ACACAGGCCUUUUUUAAGGCCACACUCUAGACCAGAUAGAUUUAA
rfam:Sus scrofa isolate TJ Tabasco breed Duroc chromosome 16, whole genome shotgun sequence.